UGGGGAAUAUUGGACAAUGGGCGCAAGCCUGAUCCAGCCAUGCCGCGUGAGUGACGAAGGCCUUAGGGUUGUAAAGCUCUUUUGGCGGGGAAGAUAAUGACGGUACCCGCAGAAUAAGCUCCGGCUAACUUCGUGCCAGCAGCCGCGGUAAUACGAAGGGAGCUAGCGUUGUUCGGAAUCACUGGGCGUAAAGCGCACGUAGGUGGGCAGUUAAGUCAGGGGUGAAAGCCCGAGGCUCAACCUCGGAAUUGCCUCUGAUACUGGCUGUCUAGAGUUCGAGAGAGGUGAGUGGAAUUCCUAGUGUAGAGGUGAAAUUCGUAGAUAUUAGGAAGAACACCGGUGGCGAAGGCGGCUCACUGGCUCGAUACUGACACUGAGGUGCGAAAGCGUGGGGAGCAAACAGGAUUAGAUACCCAUGUAGUCCCUGAGCGGGCUGGCAAGGCGCAU
rnacentral:rRNA from 1 species